rnacentral:misc_RNA from 1 species
ACCAUUUUCUUGAUAGUUAUCAUAACCUCCCCGGCCUUGACCACCGCCUUGCUGAUAAUUGUCGUAACCUCCCCGACCUUGACCACCACCACCACCUUGCUGAUAAUUAUCAUAACCUCCGCGGACACGACCACCACCUUGCUGAUAAUUGUCAUACCCAUCUCGGACUUGUCCGCCACCCUGCUGAUAAUUGUCGUAACCACCUCG